rnacentral:tRNA from 1 species
GGUGGCGUGGUGUAGCUGGUCAACAUACCGGUCUGUCACACCGGAGAUCGCGGGUUCAAGUCCCGUCGCCACCGCCA